AUGCAAGUCGAGCGGCUCUUUACCAGACAUUAGUUUCUAGUUUCUAGUUUCUAGUGUCCAGUAUCUAGUAGCGGCGGACGGGUGAGUAACACGUGGGUAAUCUGCCUUACACUUGGGAAUAACAAUGAGAAAUCAUUGCUAAAACCCUAUAAGCUCACGCUGAGGCAUCUCAGAGUGAGAAAAUAUUUAUAGGUGUAAGAGGAGCCCGCGUCUGAUUAGCUAGUUGGUGAGGUAACGGCUCACCAAGGCGACGAUCAGUAGCCGACCUGAGAGGGUGACCGGCCACAUUGGGACUGAGACACGGCCCAAACUCCUACGGGAGGCAGCAGUGGGGAAUAUUGCACAAUGGGCGCAAGCCUGAUGCAGCAACGCCGCGUGAAGGAUGAAGGGUUUCGGCUCGUAAACUUCUUUAGGCAGGGACGAAAAAAAUGACGGUACCUGCAGAAUAAGCCCCGGCUAACUACGUGCCAGCAGCCGCGGUAAUACGUAGGGGGCAAGCGUUAUCCGGAAUUACUGGGUGUAAAGGGUGAGUAAGGCGGUCGCUUAAGUCAUAUGUGAAAGCCCAGGGCUUAACCCUGGGAUUGCAUAAGAAACUGGGUGACUAGAGUACAGGAGAGGUAAGCGAAUUCCUAGUGUAGCGGUGAAAUGCGUAGAUAUUAAGGAAGAACACCA
rnacentral:rRNA from 1 species